rnacentral:rRNA from 1 species
AUUGAACGCUGGCGGAAUGCUUUACACAUGCAAGUCGAACGGUAGAGGGGGCAACCCCUCGAGAGUGGCGAGCGGGUGAGUAAUAUAUCGGAACGUGCCCAGUCGUGGGGGAUAACGUAGCGAAAGUUACGCUAGUACCGCAUACGAUCUAAGGAUGAAAGCGGGGGAUCGCAAGACCUCGCGCGAUUUGAGCGGCAGAUAUCAGAUUAGGUAGUUGGUGGGGUAAAGGCUCACCAAGCCAACGAUCUGUAGCUGGUCUGAGAGGACGACCAGCCACACUGGAACUGAGACACGGUACAGACUCCUACGGGAGGCAGCAGUGGGGAAUUUUGGACAAUGGACGCAAGUCUGAUCCAGCCAUUCCGCGUGCAGGAUGAAGGCCCUCGGGUUGUAAACUGCUUUUGUACGGAACGAAAAGGUCUCUCUUAAUACGGGGGACUCAUGACGGUACCGUAAGAAUAAGCACCGGCUAACUACGUGCCAGCAGCCGCCGUAAUAC